CCUAAGGUAGCGAAAUUCCUUGUCGGGUAAGUUCCGACCCGCACGAAAGGCGUAAUGAUUUGGGCACUGUCUCAACGAGAGACUCGGUGAAAUUAUAGUACCCGUGAAGAUGCGGGUUACCCGCGACAGGACGGAAAGACCCCAUGGAGCUUUACUGUAGCUUGAUAUUGAGUGUUUGUACCGCUUGUACAGGAUAGGUAGGAGCCGUAGAGAUCGGAACGCUAGUUUCGAUGGAGGCGUUGGUGGGAUACUACCCUAGCUGUAUGAACACUCUAACCCGCGCCACUAAUCGUGGCGGGAGACAGUGUCAGGUAGGCAGUUUGACUGGGGCGGUCGCCUCCUAAAAUGUAACGGAGGCGCCCAAAGGUUCCCUCAGAAUGGUUGGAAAUCAUUCGCAGAGUGUAAAGGUAUAAGGGAGCUUGACUGCGAGACUGACAAGUCGAGCAGGGACGAAAGUCGGGCUUAGUGAUCCGGUGGUUCCGUAUGGAAGGGCCAUCGCUCAACGGAUAAAAGCUACCCUGGGGAUAACAGGCUUAUCUCCCCCAAGAGUCCACAUCGACGGGGAGGUUUGGCACCUCGAUGUCGGCUCAUCGCAUCCUGGGGCUGUAGUCGGUCCCAAGGGUUGGGCUGUUCGCCCAUUAAAGCGGUACGCGAGCUGGGUUCAGAACGUCGUGAGACAGUUCGGUCCCUAUCCGUCGCGGGCGCAGGAAAUUUGAGAGGAGCUGUCCUUAGUACGAGAGGACCGGGAUGGACGUUCCGCUGGUGUACCAGUUGUGCCGCCAGGCGCAUCGCUGGGUAGCUAUGAACGGCAGGGAUAAACGCUGAAAGCAUCUAAGUGUGAAGCCCCCCUCGAGAUGAGAUUUCCCAUUCCUAUAUGGAAGUAAGACCCCUGAGAGAUGAUCAGGUAGAUAGGCUGGAAGUGGAAGUGCAGCGAUGCAUGGAGCGGACCAGUACUAAUCGGUCGAGGACUUAACCAA
rnacentral:rRNA from 1 species